UACGGAGGGGGCUAGCGUUGUUCGGAAUUACUGGGCGUAAAGCGCACGUAGGCGGCUUUGUAAGUUAGAGGUGAAAGCCCAGGGCUUAACUCUGGAAGUGCCUUUAAGACUGCAUCGCUAGAAUCGUGGAGAGGUGAGUGGAAUUCCGAGUGUAGAGGUGAAAUUCGUAGAUAUUCGGAAGAACACCAGUGGCGAAGGCGACUCACUGGACACGUAUUGACGCUGAGGUGCGAAAGCGUGGGGAGCAAACAGG
rnacentral:rRNA from 1 species